UGCGCAGUGGAGGCUUUGGCGGAGAGCCUGGGGGCUGGGUAGACAGAAAGGGGGCAGAUGAUAACUCGAAGAACAACAAAAACAACAACUAAAAUAGAACCAACCUAAAGGAAGUAAAAACAAGGCAGCAGCCCCCUACUGGAGCAGAUGUAAUCGGGGGUGAUUUUCAGGAUCCACGUGACUCAUGGAGGUUGAAAUAGUUCAUGAUUUUUUAAAAAACAACAAGAAGAAAAGAAAAGCUGGCCAGACCUAUUGGACUCAUUAAUUCAACCCCUGAGAAUCUAACCUAAGAAAUAUAUGAUUUUUCCAGUAAGUCAUGUAUGGUUGUGAGAGUUGGACCAUAAAGAAGACUGA